UUUUCCUACGGGACGCAGCAGUGGGGAAUAUUGCACAAUGGGGGAAACCCUGAUGCAGCGACGCCGCGUGAGUGAAGAAGUAAUUCGUUAUGUAAAGCUCUAUCAGCAGGGAAGAAAAUGACGGUACCUGAGUAAGAAGCCCCGGCUAACUACGUGCCAGCAGCCGCGGUAAUACGUAGGGGGCAAGCGUUAUCCGGAUUUACUGGGUGUAAAGGGAGCGUAGACGGCGAUGCAAGUCUGAAGUGAAAGGCGGGGGCCCAACCCCCGGACUGCUUUGGAAACUGUAUGGCUGGAGUGCAGGAGAG
rnacentral:rRNA from 1 species